rnacentral:lncRNA from 1 species
GUUGCACAUGGUAAUUUGCUGGAUAACCAUCAUGUGUCUUCAAAUUAUGUCCAUCAUGAAGACCCACGGUACAUUCGAACUGGACCUGAAUUGGGGAAUGGAGUAUUCCAUGACCAAGCUGCAGCUGCUGGCCCUGCUAUCAAUGUUCCUCCUCUGGAAGAGCGUGCUGUUCGCUAUGGCAAUUUGCCUUAUCCUUAUGGAGCUGAUAAUCUUUACCAAGUCUCACACGGACAUGUACCUGCACAUGCUUUAUGGAGAAAUGUUCAGAACCCAAUGCAUGGUGCUCCCUCUUAUGAAGCAUCCACUUCUACCUGUCAAGCAAGUGGUUCAGUUAAUCCAGGACCCAUUAGGGGUACACGGGAGGGUAGUCCUAGGUUCUGUGUUGGG